rnacentral:rRNA from 1 species
AGCAGCCGCGGUAAUUCCAGCUUCAAUAGCGUAUAUUAAAGUUGUUGCAGUUAAAAAGCUCGUAGUUGAAUUUCGAGACCGGCUUACUGGUCGUGCUAUUGUGCGUACUGGUAUAAUCGGUUUCUCCUUUCUGACGAACUAUAAUGCCAUUAAUUUGGUGUUAUAGGGAAUCAGGACUGUUACUUUGAAAAAAUUAGAGUGUUUAAAGCAGGCUCACGCUUGAAUACAUUAGCAUGGAAUAACGGAAUAGGACGUUUGAUUCUAUUUUGUUGGUUUCUAGGAUCGACGUAAUGAUUAAUAGGGAUAGUUGGGGGCAUUAGUAUUCAAUUGUCAGAGGUGAAAUUCUUGGAUUUAUUGAAGACUAACUACUGCGAAAGCAUUUGCCAAGGAUGUUUUCAUUAAUCAAGAACGAAAGUUAGGGGAUCGAAGACGAUCAGAUACCGUCGUAGU